rnacentral:rRNA from 1 species
UACGUAGGGUGCAAGCGUUAAUCGGAAUUAUUGGGCGUAAAGGGUGCGUAGGCGGUUUGACAAGUCUGAUGUGAAAUCUAUGGGCUCAACCCAUAGUCUGCAUCGGAAACUGUCGGGCUUGAGUAUGGGAGAGGUGAGUGGAAUUUCCGGUGUAGCGGUGAAAUGCGUAGAUAUCGGAAGGAACACCUGUGGCGAAAGCGGCUCACUGGACCAUAACUGACGCUGAUGCACGAAAGCUAGGGGAGCAAACAGG